UACGUAGGGGGCAAGCGUUGUCCGGAAUCAUUGGGCGUAAAGAGCGUGUAGGCGGCUCGAUAAGUCUGCUGUGAAAGUCCAGGGCUCAACCCUGGAAGGCCGGUGGAAACUGUCGGGCUAGAGUCCGGAAGAGGCGAGUGGAAUUCCCGGUGUAGCGGUGAAAUGCGCAGAUAUCGGGAGGAACACCAAUGGCGAAGGCGGGUCUCUGGGCCACUACUGACGCUGAGAAGCGAAAGCAUGGGGAGCGAACAGG
rnacentral:rRNA from 1 species